rnacentral:rRNA from 1 species
UACGUAGGGUGCAGGCGUUAAUCGGAAUUACUGGGCGUAAAGCGUGCGCAGGCGGUUUGCUAAGACAGGUGUGAAAUCCCCGGGCCUAACCUGGGAACUGCGCUUGUUACUGGCAAGCUGGAGUGUGGCAGAGGGGGGUGGAAUUCCACGUGUAGCAGUGAAAUGCGUAGAGAUGUGGAGGAACACCGAUGGCGAAGGCAGCCCCCUGGGCUAACACUGACGCUCAUGCACGAAAGCGUGGGGAGCAAACAGG